CUACGGGCGGCUGCAGUGAGGAAUAUUGCACAAUGGGGGGAACCCUGAUGCAGCAACGCCGCGUGGAGGAUGACGCAUUUCGGUGUGUAAACUCCUUUUAUAUGUCAAGAAAAUGACGGUAGCAUAUGAAUAAGCACCGGCUAACUCCGUGCCAGCAGCCGCGGUAAUACGGAGGGUGCAAGCGUUACUCGGAAUCACUGGGCGUAAAGGACGCGUAGGCGGGUUGGAAAGUCAGGUGUGAAAUCCUACAGCUUAACUGUAGAACUGCACUUGAAACUUCUAAUCUAGAGUAUGGGAGGGGAGAUGGAAUUAGUGGUGUAGGGGUAAUACCCGUAGAUAUCACUAGGAAUACCUAAAGCGAAGGCGAUCUCCUGGAACAUUACUGACGCUAAGGCGUGAAAGCGUGGGGAGCAAACAGGAUUAGAUACCCGAGUAGUC
rnacentral:rRNA from 1 species